rnacentral:rRNA from 1 species
AGAGUUUGAUCAUGGCUCAGGACUAACGCUGGCGGCGUGCCUAAUCUAUGCAAGUUUUUGUUUUUUCGGGCUUGCCCGAAGAGACAAGGCAGACGAGUGAGUAAUAUGUAGGAACUAACCCUUGAUUCAAGAAUAACUCCGAGAAAUCGGAGAUAAUACUUGAUGGUCUCGCAAGAGUAAAGCUUCGGCGAUCAAGGACAGGCCUGCAUCCUAUCAGCUAGUUGGUAAGGUAAUGGCUUACCAAGGCUAUGACGGGUAGGGGGCGUGAGAGCGUGUACCCCCACGAUGGCACUGUGACACGGGCCAUACACCUACGGGUGGCAGCAAGUAGGAAUAUUGCACAAUGCCCUAUUUUUAGGGUGAUGCAGCGACGCCGUGUGCGGGAAGAAGGAUUUCGGUCUGUAAACCGACGUUAAAAAGGAGCGGCUAACUUCGUGCCAGCAGCAGCGGUAAUACGGGGGCUCCAAGCGUUGUCCGGUAUCAUUGGGCGUAAAGAGUUAUGUAGGCGGUCUUAUAAGUUACUGGUUAAAUCUCCCGGCUCAACCGGGAAUCUGCUUGUAAUACUGUAAGACUAGAGAUAAUCAGGGGAAGAUAGAACGCAUGGUGUAGCGGUAAAAUGCUUUGAUAUCAUGCGGAAUACUAAAGGCGUAGGCAGUCUUCUGGGAUUUUUCUGACGCUGAGAUACGAAAGCGUGGGGAGCAAAACGGAUUAGAUACCCGUGUAGUCCACGCCGUAAACUAUGUUCACUAGAUCCGUGCACCAAUUCAUUGGUGUGCGAGUCGCAGCUAACGCGUUAAGUGAACCGCCUGGGAAGUACGGCCGCAAGGCUAAAACUCAAGGAAUUGACGGGGACCCGCACAAGCGGUGGAGCGCCUGCUUUAAUUCGAUGAUCACCGAAGAACCUUACCGAGGUUUGACAUGCAACUGCAAGCUGGGUGAAAGCCCGGCCCCCUUCGAGGGUGUUGCACAGGUAUUGCAUGGCUGUCAUCAGCUCGUGUCGUGAGAUGUACCGUUAAGUCGGGUAACGAGCGCAACCCUUAUCGUUAGUUGUAUCACUCUAGCGAGACUGCCCUGGCAACGGGGAGGAAGGAGAGGAUGAUGAUAAGUCGGCAUGGUCCUUAUGCCUCGGGCGAGACAGGCGCUACAAUGGCCAAUACAAUGGGCAGCCACAUAGAGAUAUGGAGCGAAUCCCGUAAAGUUGGUCUCAGCUCAGAUUGAGGGCUGCAACUCGCCCUCAUGAAGUUGGAAUCGCUAGUAAUCGUGGGUCAGCUAUACCACGGUGAAUACGUUCUCGGGUCUUGUACACACCGCCCGUC